GCCUUAGUUGCCAGCAGUUCGGCUGGCACUCUAAAGGGACUGCCGGUGUUAAACCGGAGGAAGGUGGGGAUGACGUCAAGUCCUCAUGGCCUUUAUGACCAGGGCUACACACGUACUACAAUGGCCGAUACAAAGGGCAGCGACACUGCGAGGUGAAGCCAAUCCCGUAAAAUCGGUCUCAGUCCGGAUUGGAGUCUGCAACUCGACUCCAUGAAGUUGGAAUCGCUAGUAAUCGCGCAUCAGCCAUGGCGCGGUGAGUACGUUCCCGGGCCUU
rnacentral:rRNA from 1 species